rnacentral:tRNA from 1 species
CAAAUUAAAGCUAAUGCAUCUUAUUUACACUAAGAUUUUUGGUUUAUUACCUAAUUUGA